rnacentral:rRNA from 1 species
CCAAUAGCGUAUAUUAAAGUUGUUGCAGUUAAAAAGCUCGUAGUUGAAUUUCGGGAUCAAGGGAUUGGUCAUGCCUCGGUAUGUACUGGUCUUAUUGGUUCUCACCUUCUAAGGAACCAUGAUGUCAUUCAUUUGAUGUUGUGGGGAAUUAGGACUGUUACCUUGAAAAAAUUAGAGUGUUUAAAGCAGGCUUACGCUUGAAUACAUUAGCAUGGAAUAAUGAAAUAGGACAUCAGAUUCUAUUUUGUUGGUUUCUAGGAUCGAUGUAAUGAUUAAUAGGGAUAGUUGGGGGCAUUAGUAUUCAAUUGUCAGAGGUGAAAUUCUUGGAUUUAUUGAAGACUAACUACUGCGAAAGCAUUUGCCAAGGAUGUUUUCAUUAAUCAAGAGCGAAAGUUAGGGGAUCGAAGACGAUCAGAUACCGUCGUAGUCUUAACCAUAAACUAUGCCGACUAGGGAUCGGAUGAUGUUAAUUUUUUAAUGACUCAUUCGGCACCUUACG